rnacentral:rRNA from 1 species
GACGAACGCUGGCGGCGUGCUUAACACAUGCAAGUCGAACGGAAAGGCCCCUUUGGGGGUACUCGAGUGGCGAACGGGUGAGUAACACGUGAGUAACCUGCCCUUGACUUCGGGAUAUCUUCAGGAAACUGGGGCUAAUACCGGAUAGGAAUCCUUGCUGCAUGGUGGGGGUUGGAAAGCUUCGGCGGUUUUGGAUGGACUCGCGGCUUAUCAGCUUGUUGGUGGGGUAGUGGCUUACCAAGGCUUUGACGGGUAGCCGGCCUGAGAGGGCGACCGGCCACAUUGGGACUGAGAUACGGCCCAGACUCCUACGGGAGGCAGCAGUGGGGAAUAUUGCACAAUGGGCGGAAGCCUGAUGCAGCAACGCCGCGUGCGGGAUGACGGCCUUCGGGUUGUAAACCGCUUUCAGCAGGGGCGAAGCUUGUGGUGACGGUACCUGCAGAAGAAGCACCGGCUAACUACGUG